rnacentral:rRNA from 1 species
AUUGAACGCUGGCGGCAUGCCUUACACAUGCAAGUCGAACGGUAACAGGUCUUCGGAUGCUGACGAGUGGCGAACGGGUGAGUAAUACAUCGGAACGUGCCUAGUAGUGGGGGAUAACUACUCGAAAGAGUGGCUAAUACCGCAUGAGACCUACGGAUGAAAGCAGGGGAUCGCAAGACCUUGUGCUACUAGAGCGGCCGAUGGCAGAUUAGGUAGUUGGGGGGAUAAAAGCUUACCAAGCCGACGAUCUGUAGCUGGUCUGAGAGGACGAUCAGCCACACUGGGACUGAGACACGGCCCAGACUCCUACGGGAGGCAGCAGUGGGGAAUUUUGGACAAUGGGCGAAAGCGUGAUCCAGCAAUGCCGCGUGCAGGAUGAAGGCCUUCGGGUUGUAAACUGCUUUUGUACGGAACGAAAAGCCCCGGGUUAAUACCCUGGGGUCAUGACGGUACCGUAAGAAUAAGCACCGGCUAACUACGUGCCAGCCGCCGCCGUAA